rnacentral:lncRNA from 1 species
GAUCGUAAUCAUUAUUCAUACUUUGAUAGCCUCUUGCAACCGGGUGACCCACUGGCAGGCACCAUGUACGAUCCGCAGCUCUGCAGUCUGCACUACUACCGGUCGGCACCAUUUGCAUGCAUCUAUCUGGCUUCGUCUUUUUAUCGGUGCAUCUUUGCACACAGAAGAAUCGAAUCCUCUUGCUUUACUAAGCUUACAGAAAAGAAAAAAACUGAAUCAAUAGCUACAAUAACAUAUUAGUUUCGUUAAUUAAAGUCGACAUGAAAUGUAGCUUGAUAUAGUAAUAUUGGUACGUGGUAGAUGUUAACAUUUCUCUCUUUUUUUCUAAAACAAAGUAAAACUUAUGACAUCUAAUAAACUCUACUCGUAGGGCAUGGGGAUGGACAGGAGUACCCGUUUUGCUCGUUCGCCAUGGACUCGUGACCCGUCCGUAGUCCAUGCGUGCGUGCAUGGUACGUACGGUUCGCCCCUCGAUCUUGUUUAACACAGAAUAAUCUGCAUAGGUUGAUCGAUCGUACUCGUACGUCUAGGUGGGUCAACGACAUAGGUUGAUCGUCAAGAGAACCGUACACUAGUACUC